rnacentral:rRNA from 1 species
UACGAAGGGGGCUAGCGUUGCUCGGAAUCACUGGGCGUAAAGCGCACGUAGGCGGGUCCUUAAGUCAGGGGUGAAAUCCCGGAGCUCAACCCCGGAACUGCCUUUGAUACUGGGUGUCUCGAGUCCGGAAGAGGUGAGUGGAAUUCCGAGUGUAGAGGUGAAAUUCGUAGAUAUUCGGAGGAACACCAGUGGCGAAGGCGGCUCACUGGUCCGGUACUGACGCUGAGGUGCGAAAGCGUGGGGAGCAAACAGG